UACAUGGGGUGCAAACGUUGCUCGGAAUUAUUGGGCGUAAAGCGCACGUAGGCGGCUUUGCAAGUCGGAUGUGAAAUCCCUCGGCUUAACCAAGGAAGUGCAUCCGAAACUGCAGAGCUUGAGUACUUAAGAGGAUCGCGGAAUUCCCGGUGUAGAGGUGAAAUUCGUAGAUAUCGGGAGGAACACCAGUGGCGAAGGCGGCGAUCUGGGAAGAUACUGACGCUGAGGUGCGAAAGCGUGGGGAGCAAACAGG
rnacentral:rRNA from 1 species